UACGUAGGGCGCAAGCGUUGUCCGGAAUUAUUGGGCGUAAAGAGCUCGUAGGCGGCUUGUCACGUCGGGUGUGAAAUCCCGGGGCUCAACCCCGGAACUGCAUCCGAUACUGCCGUGCUAGAGGAUUGGAGAGGUAGCUGGAAUUCUUGGUGUAGCAGUGAAAUGCGUGGAGAUCAAGAGGAACACUCGUGGCGAAAGCGAGCUACUGGACAAUAUCUGACGCUGAGGCUCGAAGGCCAGGGUAGCGAAAUGG
rnacentral:rRNA from 1 species